AUUGAACGCUGGCGGCAGGCCUAACACAUGCAAGUCGAACGAGUGGCGGACGGGUGAGUAAUGUCUGGGAAACUGCCUGAUGGAGGGGGAUAACUACUGGAAACGGUAGCUAAUACCGCAUACCAUCAGAUGUGCCCAGAUGGGAUUAGCUAGUUGGUGGGGUAACGGGUCACCAAGGCGACGAUCCCUAGCUGGUCUGAGAGGAUGACCCGCCACAUUGGAGCUGAGACACGGUCCAGACUACUACGGUAGGCAGUAGUGGGGAAGAGUGCACAAUGGGCGCAAGCCUGAUGCAGCCAUGCCGCGUGUAUGAAGAAGGCCGUCGGGUUGUAAAGUACUUGCAGCGGGGAGGCGUUACCAGCAGAAGAAGCACCGGCUAACGCCGUGCAAGCCGCCGCGGUAAUUC
rnacentral:rRNA from 1 species